rnacentral:rRNA from 1 species
CCUACGGGAGGCAGCAGUGAGGAAUAUUGGUCAAUGGGCGUAAGCCUGAACCAGCCAAGUCGCGUGAGGGAUGAAUGUUCUAUGGAUUGUAAACCUCUUUUAUAAGGGAAUAAAGUGCGGGACGUGUCCCGUUUUGUAUGUACCUUAUGAAUAAGGAUCGGCUAACUCCGUGCCAGCAGCCGCGGUAAUACGGAGGAGCCGAGCGUUAUCCGGAUUGAUUGGGUGUAAAGGGUGCGUAGGCGGCCUGUUAAGUCAGCGGUGAAAGUCUGUGGCUCAACCAUAGAAUGGCCGUUGAAACUGGGGGGCUUGAGUAUGUUUAGGGCAGGCGGAAUGCGUGGUGUAGCGGAGAAAUGCUUAGAUAUCACGCAGAACCCCGAUUGCGAGGGCAGCGUGCCACGCCAUGACUGACGCUGAUGCACGAAAGCGUGGGGAUCAAACAGGAUUAGAUACCCCUGUAGUC